rnacentral:rRNA from 1 species
GGUAACGUUGGGCCGGGAGGCGGGGUAAAACGGAGGGGGGUAGCGUUAGUCGGGAUGUGUGGGCGGAAAGGGCGCGUAGGCGGUUUCUUAAGUCGGAUGGGCAAUCCCCGGGUGCAACCCGGGAACUGCAUCCGGGACUGGGGGGCUAGGGUACUGGGGGGGUUGGUGGAAUUCCUCGUGUAGCGGGGAAAUGCGUAGAGAUGAGGAGGGACACCAGUGGCGAAGGCGGCCAACUGGACAGUAACUGACGCUGAGGCGCGAAAGCGUGGGUAGCAAACAGGAUUAGAUACCGGGGUAGUC